rnacentral:lncRNA from 1 species
GUCCAAAGUCGUGUCUACAUACUUGAAAAUCGCCACUUUCUAAUGAAUAAAAUAACAUAAUUAUGAAACGUGAAAUCUAAAAUUUAUAUCAAAAUUGAUAGAGAGUUUGCGUCAACAGAUAUGUGCACUUCACAAAAGUGUCAUGAAAACUGCUGAAAGCGUUUUUGAGUUAUUGUCCGAAAACUGGAAUAUCCAACCCCUUUUUUUAAACAGUGAAAAAAAGCCGAAAAUUCUAGAUCCCAAAUUUAUAAAAAAAAAAAAAAUAACUAAAGGGCGCUCACGUCAAUAGAUAUAUAUUUCAUCAAAUUUUCAUGUUUAUUAGUUGCAAGCGUUUUCGAGAUAAUAUUCCACAUGUUGACGAGGGAGAUACGGAAGGACCGACGGACAAAGGUAUGCCAUACUUCGUCCCGUAAAUGCGUAUUUACAAACAACAAAUAUAAACAAACACAAAUCUUGACUCUUAAUGUCGAUGUAAAAAAAAACACAGUUUGAAGGUUGAAAAGCAAAAAUUAGUUCAAUCCAAUUGCGUAAUAUUCAUUAACAAUGGACAUAAUAAGUAAUAGGAAUAGAUUGGAGGGAAAAUGACAGAUAUUUCAAAUUCCUUUUUCAUCAUUUUUGCCAAUACGA